rnacentral:rRNA from 1 species
UACGGAGGGAGCUAGCGUUGUUCGGAAUUACUGGGCGUAAAGCGCACGUAGGCGGCUUUGUAAGUUAGAGGUGAAAGCCCGGGGCUCAACCCCGGAACUGCCUUUAAGACUGCAUCGCUUGAAUCCAGGAGAGGUGAGUGGAAUUCCGAGUGUAGAGGUGAAAUUCGUAGAUAUUCGGAAGAACACCAGUGGCGAAGGCGGCUCACUGGCCCGGUACUGACGCUGAGAUACGAAAGCGUGGGGAGCAAACAGG